rnacentral:rRNA from 1 species
UACGGAGGGUGCAAGCGUCAUCCGGAUUCACUGGGUUUAAAGGGUGCGUAGGCGGACAGGUAAGUCAGUGGUAAAAUCUCUGGGCUUAACUCAGAAAUUGCCGUUGAUACUAUUUGUCUUGAAUAUUCUGGAGGUAAGCGGAAUAUGUCAUGUAGCGGUGAAAUGCUUAGAUAUGACAUAGAACACCGAUAGCGAAGGCAGCUUGCUACAGAAAGAUUGACGCUGAGGCACGAAAGCGUGGGGAGCAAACAGG